rnacentral:rRNA from 1 species
UAGGGAAUCUUCCACAAUGGACGAAAGUCUGAUGGAGCAACGCCGCGUGAGUGAAGAAGGGUUUCGGCUCGUAAAACUCUGUUGUUAAAGAAGAACAUAUCUGAGAGUAACUGUUCAGGUAUUGACGGUUAUUUAACCAGAAAGCCACGGCUAACUACGUGCCAC